CAUUCAUCACGUCAGUUUUUGUAAGGCAAAUGUUCCGUAACUCUAUUAUUUCUCUCUUUUUUAUUCAAUUUUGUUCACAUAUGUGAUGCAAGAUGUUGGAAUGGAAAUACGCGCAUCGAUCUUCGUUAAGUUA
ensembl:ncRNA C36F7.9 ncRNA